rnacentral:rRNA from 1 species
AACUAACGCUGGCGGCGUGCCUAACACAUGCAAGUCGUACGAGAAAGCCGGCUUCGGCUGGUGAGUAAAGUGGCGCACGGGUGAGUAACGCGUGGAUAAUCUGCCCUUAAGUGUGGAAUAACGUACCGAAAGGUGCGCUAAUACCGCAUAAUGCCUGGCAACACAAGUUGUCCGGCCAAAGAAGGCCUCUGUUUACAAGCUUUCGCUUCAGGAUGAGUCCGCGUACCAUUAGCUUGUUGGUGGGGUAAUGGCCUACCAAGGCUGCGAUGGUUAGCUGGUCUGAGAGGAUGAUCAGCCACACUGGAACUGAGACACGGUCCAGACUCCUACGGGAGGCAGCAGUGAGGAAUAUUGCGCAAUGGGGGCAACCCUGACGCAGCAACGCCGCGUGAGUGAGGAAGGUUUUCGGACUGUAAAGCUCUGUCGAGCGGGAAGAAGGUGUACCAUGGCUAAUAUCCAUGAUAUUUGACGGUACG